rnacentral:tRNA from 1 species
GUUCCUGUAUGGCACAGUUGGUUGGGUAUUUGCCUGCUGCCCAAAAGGUUGCUGGUUCAACUCCAGCUGGGGACA